GAUGAACGCUGGCGGCGUGCCUAAUACAUGCAAGUCGAACGAAACUUCUUUAUCACCGAGUGCUUGCGCUCACCGAUAAAGAGUUGAGUGGCGAACGGGUGAGUAACACGUGGGCAACCUGCCCAAAAGAGGGGGAUAACACUUGGAAACAGGUGCUAAUACCGCAUAACCAUAGUUACCGCAUGGUAACUAUGUAAAAGGUGGCUAUACUACCGCUUUUGGAUGGGCCCGCGGCGCAUUAGCUAGUUGGUAGGGUAAAGGCUUACCAAGGCAAUGAUGCGUAGCCGAAGUGAGAGGUUGAUCGGCCACAUUGGGACUGAGACACGGCCCAAACUCCUACGGGAGGCAGCAGUAGGGAAUCUUCCACAAUGGGCGAAAGCCUGAUGGAGCAACGCCGCGUGGGUGAAGAAGGUCUUCGGAUCGUAAAACCCUGUUGUUAGAGAAGAAAGUGCGUGAGAGUAACUGUUCACGUUUCGACGGUAUCUAACCAGAAAGCCACGGCUAACUACGUG
rnacentral:rRNA from 1 species